GAUAAAAGAAGAGAUUGUAUGAGGGAAGGGACGCCAAGCUAAAACUUUAAGUUAGGGACAUAUUUAUUAAGAAUCUUGAAAUGUACAUGAGAAAGAACUACACUUUUCAGGAAAUGCAUAGAAGGUGGUUGAGUACUGUUCAGUGCACAAAUAUAAGACAGACUUAUUAGGAGAAGAAUGUCUCUGUUUUCUCAGUUCCCACUCUUUAUUUUCUUCUUAGAAUUAACUUGGAAGGAGAAAAGAGACAGAGAGAGACAGACAGACGGACGGAUGGACAGGCACGGGCGCGGGUUGAAAACAGCAAUCCCAGGAGUUUCCCAGGCAGCAAAACAACCCAAGGAAAAUUUGCCCACCUCAAAACUGGAAUCAGAAGAUUCCCCAAAUACUCAGCCUGAGCUUUCUAGAACCCAUUUUGCUUAUCAAAGCCACUGUGUGUGUGUGUCUGUUGCAAGCACUCCACCACCAAGCCACAUGCCCAGCCCCAAAGCCACUCUCAGUUUAGAAAACGGACUCUGGAGUUUCUCCCUCAACCUCAGGAAACUCUGAACUCUCAAAAUUGCAUUUUUUUCCAGCAGAGAAUUUUCACAAAUGUGACUUAAAUCUGAAAAAGCAAAGAUAUUUUGUCCAUUGAAAAUGUAAAAUUAUGAGAACCAAAAUGUCUAAAGCAGCUAAUUUCCAAAACAUCAACUCUAACAUGACUAGCUUGAAAAAAAAUUUUUUAAUCAUUUUUAGGCAUGAUGAAUUCAUUUCUUUGCACAUCAAUUGAAAAAUCCUUCUUGCUUCAUAUCCUAGAACGGUUUUAAACCAGAGGCCCUUCAAGAGCUUAUCUAAAUUACCCUUAUUUAGGGAGAUAAUCAGCUAAAAGUGGACCAGAGUUUCUGCAGUUUCAUCUAGCCUAAAGAAACAGGGGAAGGAGGUUUUUUUUUCUUUUUCUGUUCUUAAAAGAGUUCUAGGACAAUCUUAUUUCUUUUAAUUUGAGGAAUAGCAUCAAAAUUGUAUAGAUAGGAAUAUAAAACAAAUCUCCACCCUGCAAGAAAACCUCAUAGUGUCACAAUUUUUCUUACUCUGUUUGUCUUGAGAAAUAACAUAGUCUUUUGGGCUAAGGGCAAAUAGCUUAUCCUUACAUCUAAAGUUCCC
rnacentral:lncRNA from 1 species